UGGCAAUUGAACUGUAUGUGUGUGCUCUGAGGGCCAUUCAGUAAUAAUGUGCGCUCAGAUCUGAGCUAUCUGGGGAUAUGUUGAAUGUACCUGUUUUGUGCAAUGGCUGCACAGUUAUAUAUUUUAAUGUGUUUUAUUGUCUUUUGCUGCCAUGUGUUCAAUGGAGUUUUGCCUCUGUCUUUGGAGAUAAUUGGAUUACUUCCCAAUUAUCUCCAGGAUAGAAGACUCUGUGGAACUG